UUUAAUUUAAAAGAACACAUGGUAGCUAGGAAAAGGUUCAGACCUUUGUACAAAAUUUUUGUACAGUGGAACCUCUAGGUUUUCCGAGUAGCAACCAACAGCAAGAAGGUUUUUCAUUUGUAUUUAUGUAUUUACUUCUUAUUUUGAGUUGUAUUGCUUGUGUGAGUUGUAAGAGAUUUCUCCACCUCUGGAUUAUUUUUGGGAAUGAGUGUUUUUGACAGUGAAGAGUGUACUUGGUGUGGAUCCUUGGAUUAAUCAUCUCUUCUUGAGGUGGAUACCAAGUAAAUCCUAGUGUUAGCAUUGGGAAGUUUGUCGCUUCAAGUUUAUCCAUUGCAAUAACAUCUACAAAGCGAGCGAGCGAGACGAGCUAUUCACCCUCGGUCUAGCUUCAGAGUAUCCAACAAGUGGUAUCAGAGCGAGAAUGCUCUUCACUGAACUCAUCGUCGGAAGGGCAACGAGCUAGAGGUAGUAGAAGUUGAAGCCCCAAUUUCAUAAGUCAAAGACUUCAUCAACAAACUCAACUUCAAGAUGAACUUCCGAAAUGGACUCGGAUAUGACUCAAGGGCACCUCCAUCAUACACAUCUUGAAGCUUCAAUCUUUGGAAAUUAAGAAUAGAAAAUUUCUUGAUGGUAGAGAUAGAGCAAUAGUUUGUUCUAAUGGAGGGAUUUUCAAGCUCCAACAGAUAGCAAAGGCAAAGUCAUCAAGAAGAACAAAUGGAGCAAAGAGCAAAUUCAAAGAAGUGAGAUAAAUGAUAAAAAAAAGGGCAGCCCGGUGCACGAAGCUCCCGCCAUGCGGGGUCCCAGGGAAGGAUCCAUUGUACGCAGCCUUACCCUGCUUUUUGCAAGAGCCUGUUUCCAGGAUUCGAACGACCUUUUGUUCACAUGGCAACAACUUUACCAUUGCGCUAAGGUUCCCCUUCAAGUGAGACAAAUGAUAGAGUAACCAAAUUAUUGGUUAGCUUAUUGCCUAGCACUAUUAUGAGCAAAGUUGGACAAUUCCAAGAUGUUAAGGAGCUUUGGAGCAAGUUGACAAGAAUCCAUGAAGUCCCCUCCACUACACCAAAUCAAGAAAGAUCCAAAGAAGGAGACUCAUUGGACCAAGAAGAAGAGGACUCCGAGGUUGAGAGGCGCUCAACAUCAGAAAAAGAAGAAAGUGAAGAAGGUUCAUCUUCUAGAGAGCACGAAGACAAAGGCAAAGGAGUAUACUCCUUAUUUCAUGUGCAUAAGGAUUCGGACAUUUAGAGAUGCUUAACAUCUGAGGAUGAAGAGGAAGAGGCAUCCAUUUCAAAGAUUGAGGGGGAGCGUGGAUCAGCAUUGUUGGAUUAAGUAGAAGCCUCUACAUCCGAAUCAAAAUAAGAAGAUGUCAUCUCUACAAGUGAAGGUAUAAAAAACUCAAUUUGUAAAAAUAAAUAUAAUAUCAUUUGUUUUGAGUAUAGGGAGAAAGGACACUAUAAGAGCAAGUGCCCAAAAUUGACUAAGAAGAAGGGUUAAGUAGCACCCAAGGUUAAGAAGAAGCCUAAGGAGGUCAGCCCCAUGGUACAAAAAGGCAAGGAACACAUUGUGUAUUUCUUAUGCAACCAAAAGGAUAUUAUCGGAGUCAAUGUCUUAAGGGGAGGAAACCAGCUAAGGUUAAAGGAUGAAGCACAAGUCAAGGGGCACAUUUAAGAGCAAACCCAAGGUAUCUUUUAUUAAUGCAAUUCCUCUUAAUUAUGAAAAAAAUCAUGCUAGUUCAAAUUUAUAUCAUUUUAAUACUAUUUAUCAUGAAAAUAGGAAGCGUGAUAGAAUUAUGGAAAAAUAUGCAUGUUAGGACUACCUUACCUAAGGAUAGGAAGGUAGAGAAUAAUUUAGGCAAGAAUUCUAAGGAUCUUAGAUAUAGAUCUAGAAAUACAAAUGCUCAAGGAUUUAAAGAAAAAUUCAAAUCUAAGGAUCUAAGGAUUGAAAAUCAAGUCUUGAAGUCAAGCCUUGAAAAAUUAGAAGACACCCUUAGAAGAAUGGAAAAAUAUCUUUAAGAUGAGUAAAUCCUAGUUUUAGGAAAGCAAAAGUCAUCCAAUGGUCAUAGAGGUUUGGGAUACAAACCAAAAGAUAAGAAGGAUGUGACUUCGUACCAUAGAGUUCCAUUUAGCCAUGGAACUAACCAUAGAUCUAGGUGUCCAGCCAAGGUUACAAGGGAGGUUAUCCCUAAAACUAUCCUUGCAAAGACCAAUGUGAUUAAGGUUUUAAAGAAGUCUAAGGAAGUCACCGAGAAGGUGGAAGCUAUCCUUAGAGUUGACCUAGAAGAGAUGAGCGUGACCAAAGCUUCCAAGAAGCCUAGGAAGGCCAUUAGGAAGGUAACUAGGGAAAUUAUCCCUAGUGAGUACUUCGAAUACCCAAGGAGCACCAAUCAGUUUUAGAUUCCUAGGAGUAUGUUCUCUACACUCUAGAUGAGUUUAGAGAGUGUCAAUUCUAAUUGGAAGGGUAGUUAGCCCGACCUUGGUGAAGUUGACACUUGGAGGUAUUUUCAAAAUUUUGUUAACCUUUGAAAAUGAAGGUUUAAAUUGUUACUCUUUUGGAAGAGUAAAAUGUGCUAAAAUUUGAAGAUUUGGACUUAACUUAAAUUGCCUAAAUUGGUUAAUUCAAAGAAAUACCAAAUUUGGAGUUUGACAUUUUUUUGGGAGAAAAACGAGCAACUUAGGUUAUUUUUAGUUUAGUAAAUAGUUUAAGGAUAGAAACACUUAAAUAUAUAAUCUAGGCAUUUCAUUUAUGCUAACUUGCUAUAAUUGCUUGCCCAUCAUAUGUCAUGACAUCAUAUUUACAUUCAUACAUGUUAUGAAAAAUAAAAAAUACCAUGUCAUGUCAAAUAUACAUCAUGUAGCUAAAUACACUACAAAAAAUUUAGGAUUUAACAACACCCAAUAGACAACGGUUUUUCUAAAAAUCAUUGUCUUUGUUCCAUUUAACGACGGUUUUAAUAAAAACGGUUGUUGUUGGUCAAUUUUUUUUUUGAAAAAAAUGACAAAUAUUUUUAAAAAAUCAUUGUCUUAUGUAUGUUAAAAGAUAACGGUUUUUAAAACCGUUGUCUAUGAGCUUACUUUUUGGGCCUACGAUAGUGAUUUUAAUCAAUCGUUGUUUAUUAACAUUGCUUACGUGAUAAUAGACAAUAGUUUUAUUAAACUGUUGUCUACGUGGGUGUUUUAAGAUCUAAAGACAUCCUCCGCGAAAAACCUCUAAAAAUCAUCUCCACUAAAACUCAUAUUCACCAAAAACCUAGCCUCCAACACUCCACGAGAAACCCAUCUCCCCCAAAACCCCCCUCCACGUGAUCGCCACUCCAAGCUUUGGCUCGAUGAGAGAGAGCACCUCGAAUCCUUGAUCGAAACCACUCACCUUCUCUGCCUCCCAGCAUGCCGUCGCCGCCGAGCUCGCUGUCUCCCAGCACAUGAAUCAGAGCCCUAUCGGAGGAAAGAAGCUCACCGGAGAGAAACUUAAAGGGACCUCGUUGUGUCUCGUCGAUCUUGUUUGAGUGAAUGAGGUAGAAAAUGAUAUCUUAGAAGAUGCACAUGAGUGGAAAUUUGAUCCAACAAUGCGAGAUAUUUUAGAAUUCGUAUACGUGAUUCUCUAUCUGUUGUGGUACUAUUUAAUUUUGUAAAUUUAGAAGUUUGUGAAAUAUGACUACAUACUUUUUGGUUUAAUUGUUGUUAGAUUACAGGUCUUGAUGACACGUCUAUUGUAAUUCAUGCAUGUAAGUCUUGAUCAAUAUUACUUUAAUUAUGUUUGAAUUGGUUUUAUA